CGCAGUGCGGGUGGAAGGCGAUGCGGCCGAGGCGCUUGGCGUGCACCUCGAAGGUCAUGUUGUAGUCCUCGAUCUUCAGCCCGGGCGCCGCGA
rnacentral:tRNA from 1 species